rnacentral:lncRNA from 10 species
CAGUUGAUUCAGAAUGUGAACUAUAAGGCGGCAAGUGAAUCAGUUUGGGAACCAGAAGUUCUUGAUUUAUGUCCCAGCACUUUCUGCUGAAGAUAUGACCCAUGGUGAAAGGAGUACAGCACAGUUUAUUAAGCGUGGGCGGCUUUGUAAGCAGUGGAAAUACAUUCAAAUAGGCAGCUUCUGAAAAGCCACUCUGCCCUAAGAAGUCAGCCUACAUAAUUGAAGACAAGUGAUGUAAAUAAUUUGCCCUGUAUGCUGGUCCCAUGUUCCUGGACUUCUCAGUCUCCCCCAGAACUGUAAAAAAUAAAUUUCCUUUCUUUAUAAAUUACCCAGUCUGUGGUAUUCUGUUAUAGUAAAGGAAAACAAGCUAAGGCAUUAUGUUAAAUCUUGUAAAAAGAACCUCUUUCCUAUGAUUAGAGCUCCUCUCAUAUGCAUAUAGAAAUCCAAUGUUGAAGCUAUCAUAAUUCUACUGAACCAUCAACUUCAACCCACCCAGGUAAGAUUAUGCCUUCUUGAAUAUAAGAGAAACUUCCCCAAUCCCUUACCCAACCAAAAGGAUGAAUCUUCGAGAAAAAUAUCAAAAAGCCCUGCUUCAAAUCAGUAAAUAUUUGGUGGUAGGUGAGUGGUGUUUUCAAAUAAUAAAUACAAUCAUUCACUCUCUGUUAUGACUUUUUGAAGAUAAUUCAUUUUUGUUUUUCUUCUCUUAAGGGCUGAUUUAAACUUUCACAAAUGUAACAUCAUAUUGAAUCACAUCACAUUGAAUUUGUAAUGAAAAAAUGUGUUCCCCAGACGUCUUAUGACCUCUGAAACUUGGAAACCAAGUUGGCAACUGAGGAAAAAACUAUUAUUUCCAUCAAAAACUAUGGCAACAAAAACAUGGUCAUGUUCAUUUUAAUUACUUCUGCCAUUUUACUUGUCCCUCUUUCUAGUUAUCUUUCUUAAGAAUAUUAAUCAGUCUAAAGAGAAUAAAUGAUUUAUUAUUUUCAGAGAGGUAGGUGUUUUGAACAGAUCUUAGAGCCAUGUGGGUCAGUGUUGUCAAUCCCAGAUUUAUCUGUUUAAAAUGCAUGCCUCAUGGACUUACACUUAUUAAUGUUAUAAUGUAGGUAAGAAUCUUACCCAGUGCUCAGUACAUACUAAGUUGUGGGUAAAACCUGCUUAUUACUAAUUAUUCAACAAUUCACAGAAAAAUGGAAAAUUCAGUUGUUCAAAUUAUCACCAAUAUGGGUGUUUUCUUUAUAAUGUGAUAAGAUUAUUUGAAUUUUAUGACACAUAUGCCAUGAAUUUAAGAUAAGUAUAAUAUGGUUGCUUUAAGUUUUUCUUUUUCAAUUACAAUAAUAAUAAUACAAACCUCCUUAGAUCUAUACACUUGAGAUAUUUAAAACACAAUGUGUAUGCAAAACAUCAUAACCUGGUUCCUCAAAUCAACAAGGGACUAUGAGUUUUAUUUGUAUGAGAGGUCUUGGACCUGUGGUAUUUUGUUUACUACUUAUCACUUUUGAUGGCCACCCAUUUGAAUAGAGAUCUAAUCUGGCUCUGGGGGCAGGGAAGAUCUUGGGACAGGAAAACUACCCCUUUCUUUAGGAGAUGGCCCAUUGAUCUUUGCUUUUAUCAGCUCCUGCAACUAUCAUUUGAAGGUAAAGAUCAAGUUAUUUACAAAUUGCUUUAGAUUGAAAGGCAUUAGACUAGGCAAGGUGAAAAUUAAGAGCUUGUGAAUACAUUGUAGGUGGAAAUAAUUUUUGGAAACGAUUUCCCAGUAUAUAUAAUACACAAUUUCUAAAAUGAACAAAAGUUUGAAAUAAGUUUUAAAUAAGAUGUUGAAAAGAUGUAAGCGUAGCUGCUUUAAUCUUAAUCAAUGCAACUUGUGAUGAGGUAAUGAAGAGCAGGCAAUCAGUCAGAACCCAAUCUACCCAAAUGAAAUCUCAAACAACAGAGGAUAUUUUUUACUUUAGUUUGUGUUAAGAGAGAUGGGCAAUGUAAGUGCUAUGCAGAUUUAAUGUGCUAAUGAAAUAAAUUCAUCAAGAUUUAAAUUAUGGAGGAAAUUAAAAUAAGAAACUGUUCUGUACACAAAAGAGACUAUGUCCCAAGAGAAUAUCCAGCCUUGGUAAAGAACAACCCUAAUGAAUUUUAGAAUAGAUUUACAAAAUAUUAUAUAUCACCUGUUUUUAAAGACUUUUUAUUCUUUAGUUUCCUUAGUCAGUCCCUAGAAUUUUUAUUUAGGAAAGACCCUAGAAAUAGAAAUCUGAAAUGCUCAGCCAACAAAAGCUUUGUGAAGUUGUUUGCCCAGCCAAUGUAUUGUUGGUGGUUAGAUCAUUAGUCUACUACUUCGAUUUUGGGUGCUCAGUGAAGUACCUGGAGGCAUUCAAGGGUGUGAGCACAGAUAAUUUAAGGGAAUUAAUUUCUAAUUUAAAUAAUUUCAUCUUUUAUGUUAAAUAUUUCCUAAGGCCAUUUGAUGGAGCUUCAAGUUCUAAUUUUCUUUUUUUUUUCUUUUGAGAUGGAGUGUUGCUCUGUCGCCCAGGCUGGAGUGCAGUGGCAUGAUCUCGGCUCACUGCAAGCUCCGCCUCCCAGGUUCAUGCCAUUCUCCUGCCUCAGCCUCUCAAGUAGCUGGGACUACAGGCACCCGCCACCACGCCUGGCUAAUUUUUUUUGUAUUUUUUAGUAAAGACGGGGUUUCACCAUGUUAGCCAGGAUGGUCUCGAUCUCCUGAUCUCGUGAUCUGCCCUUCCUCAGCCUCCCAAAGUGCUGGGAUCACAGGCGUGAGCCACCAUGCCCAGCCCAAGUUCUAAUUUUCUGCCAUGUUAUAAUAAACCUCUCCCAAUUUUUCAAAGUAAAAUAUCUGUUGCCCAGCACUAAACUAGCAGGGUGAUUGCCCCAGAAAAUUACAAAGAUCCUAGGCAUCACUACUGAGACCAAUCAAAAUGUUUUUAUAAUGAUUUUGAAAAAAUAAAGAAUUUUAAUGACAGGAUAAAAAAUAAAUACAUUUGAAAAUCAAAUGAUUCCAACUAUCAGUUUUCAACAAAACUAAAGAAUUUACCUACUUGGAUUGUUUGUUGAUAGGCCACUUAAAAAUAAUAUUUGCUGAAGAAUUAGAAUGAGACAUUUACAAACACCUGAAAAGAGUUGAAAGAAUUCAAUGUCAUUGCUAGAAUAGCACACUUAUCCUCAUCUAUUUGUUUAUGUGGACAAGUUAUUUCAAUACCUACAUCUAUAAAGAUGAGUGUAUUAGUUCAUUUUCAUAUUGCUGUUACAGACAUGCCCGAGACUGGACAAUUUACAAAAGAAAGAAGUUUAUCAGACUUACAGUUCUAUGUGGCUGAGGAAACCUCACAAACAUGGCGGAAGUUGAAAGGCACAUCUCACAUGGUGGUAGACAAGAGAAGAGAACUUGUGUAGGGAAACUCUGAUUUUUAAAACCAUCAGAUCUGGCGAGACUCAUUCACUAUCAAGAGAACAGUGCAGGAAAGACCCGCCCCCAUAAUUCAAUCACCUCUCACCAGGUUCCUCCCAUGACAUGUGGGAAGUACAAUUCAAGAUGAGAUUUGCUUGGGGGCACAGCCAAACCAUAUUAUUCCACCACUGGCCUCUUCUAAAUCUCAUGUCCUCAUAUUUCAAAAACCAAUCAUGCCUUCCCAAUAGUCCUCCAUAGUCUUAACUCAUUUCAGCAUUAACUCAAAAGUCUACAGUACAAGGUCUCUUCUGAGACAAGUCAAGUCCCUUCUGCCUAUAAGCAUGUAAAAUCAAAAGCAAGUUAGUUACAUCCUAGAUACAAUGUGGGUACAGGCACUGGGUAAAUACAGCCAUUCCAAAUGGGAGAAAUUGGCCAAAACAAAGGGGCUACAACCCCAUGUAAGUCUGAAAUCCAGCAGAGCAGUCAAAUCUUGAAGCUCCAAAAUGAUAUUUUGACUCAAUGUCUUACAUCUCAGUCAUGCUGAUGCAAAAGAUUGCUUCCUGUGGUCUUAGGCAGCCUCGCUCCUGGCUGUUUCCAUGGGCUUGUGUUGAGUGUCUGUGGCUUUUCCAGGCUCACAGUGCAAGCUGUCAGUGAAUCUACAAUUCUGGGUUCUGUAGAAUGAUGUCCCUCUUCUCACAGCUCCACUAGGUAGUGCCCCAGUAGGGACUCUCUGUGGGGACUCCAAACCCACAUUUCCCUUCCAUGCUGCCCUAGCAGAGGUUGUAUAUGAGAGCCCUGCCCCUGAAGCAAACUUCUGCCUGGGCAUCCACUCGUUUCCAUACAUCCUCUGAAAUGUAGGCGGAGGUUCCCAAACCCCAAUUCGUCACUUCUGUGUACCAGCAGGGUCAACACCAUAUAGAAGCUGCCAAGGCUUGGGGCUUGAAUCCUCUGAAACCAUAGCCCAAGCUCUAGGUGUACCCCUUUCAGCCAUGGCUGGAGUAGCUGGGAUGUAGGGCACCAAGUCCUGCGCAUAGCACUGGGACCCUGGGCCCGACCCACAUAACCACUUUUUCCUCCUAGACCUCCAGGCCUGUGAUGGGAGGGGCUUGUGAAGAGCUUUGAAAUGCUUUGGAGACAUUUUCCCUGUUGUCUUUGGGAUUAACAUUUGGCUCCUAGUUACUUAGGCAAAUUUCUGCAGCUGGCUUGAAUUUCUCCUUAGGAAAUGGGAUUUUCUUUUCUAACGCAUUGUCUGGCUGCAUAUUUUCUAAACUUUUAUGCUGUGCUUCCCUUUUAAAACUGAAUAGCUUCAACAGCACCCAAGUCACCUCUUGAGUGCUUUACUGCUUGGAAAUUUAUUCCACCAGAAACCCUAAAUCAUCUCUCUCAAGUUCAAAGUUCCACAAAUCUCUAGGGCAGAGGCAAAAUGCUGCCAGUCUAUUUGCUACAACAUAACAAGAGUCACCUUUGCUCCAGUUCCUAAAAAGUUCCUCAUUUUUAUCUGUGACCACCUCAGCCUAGACUUUAUUGCCCAUAUUUCUAUUAGCAUAUUGGUCAAAGGCAUUCAACCAGUCUCUAGGAGGUUCCAAACUUUCCAACAUUUUCCUGUCUUCUUCUGAGCCCUCCAAACUGUUCCAACCUCUGCUUGUUACCCAGUUCCAAAGUGGCUUCCACAAUUUCAGGUAUCGUUUCAUCAGUGCCCCACCCUACUGGUACCAAUUUACUGUAUUAGUCCAUUUUCAUGCCACUGAUAAAGACACACUUGAAACUGUGCAAUUUAAAAAUAAAGAGGUUUACUGGACUUACAGUUCCACAUGGCUAGGGAGACAUCACAAUUAUGACAGAAGGUAAAAGGUCCAUCUGACAUGGUGGCAGACAAGAGAAGAGAGCUUGUAUAGGGAAAUUCCCAUUUUUAAAACCAUCAGAUCUCGUGAGACUCAUUCAUUAUCAUGAGAACAGUGCAGGAAAGACCUGCCCCAUAAUUCAACCACCUCCUACUGGGUUCCUCCCAUGACACAUGAGAAUUGUGGGAGUUACAAUUCAAGAUUAGAUUUGAGUGAGCGCACAGCCAGACCAUGUCAAUGACCUAAAAAAUAGUAAGAAUAGAAUGUAUGGUAAACUCUGUCCCAUUGUAAUAAUAAAUUAAUCAUUAAUAUAAAUUACGUUCUCAUAGAGAGCUGUGUUUUCAAAAAUCACUUUAAUUUGUUAAAGUUGUUUAUGAAAACAUGAUAAGUUUACAUCAUUUAUAACAGGGACUAAUAAUUACUAGAAGAAUAACUUACUCUUGAUUUUUUUUAUUUACAGAU